AUUGAACGCUGGCGGCAUGCCUUACACGUGCAAGUCGAACGGCAGCACGGGAGCAAUCCUGGUGGCGAGUGGCGAACGGGUGAGUAAAGUAUCGGAACGUGCCCAGUCGUGGGGGAUAACGUAGCGAAAGUUACGCUAAUACCGCAUACGAUCUAUGGAUGAAAGCGGGGGAUCGCAAGACCUCGCGCGAUUGGAGCGGCCGAUAUCAGAUUAGGUAGUUGGUGGGGUAAAGGCUCACCAAGCCGACGAUCUGUAGCUGGUCUGAGAGGACGACCAGCCAAACUGGGACUGAGACACGGCCCAGACUCCUACGGGAGGCAGCAGUGGGGAAUUUUGGACAAUGGGCGAAAGCCUGAUCCAGCCAUGCCGCGUGCAGGAUGAAGGCCUUCGGGUUGUAAACUGCUUUUGUACGGAACGAAAAGGUUUGGCCUAAUAAGCUGAGCUCAUGACGGUACCGUAAGAAUAAGCACCGGCUAACUACGUGCCAGCAGCCGCGGUAA
rnacentral:rRNA from 1 species